rnacentral:misc_RNA from 1 species
GCCCCCCGCGUCUUGCAGGUCGACUGCGUGAGCGCCGUGGUCAGUCGGCGACGGCCGGCGACCGCGCGAUGUGCAUACGCAAUACGUCAACCGACAUUUUGCACACAAGUUUUGGCGCCUAUCGAAAAGAAAAAAAUACAUACACGAUUAAUCCAGUGUGUAGUACAUUUAGUGUUGUGUUGUGUUUAAGAGGUGUGGUUUGAUUUCGGCGUUCCCAAAACUCAAGAUUGGCGGACAAACUGUAUGAAUUACGUCGCCUUUUACACAUGACUCAUUAAGUGAAACAGUCAAAAUGGUGGACAGUCAGACGCAACACUUCUGUCUCCGAUGGAACAACUACCAGCGCAGUAUUACCAGCGCCUUCGAGAACCUUCGCGACGACGAGGACUUCGUCGACGUCACGCUCGCCUGCGACGGGAAAAGCCUCAAAGCUCAUAGAGUCGUGCUGUCAGCUUGCAGCCCUUAUUUCAGAGAAUUAUUGAAGUCCACGCCGUGCAAGCAUCCAGUGAUCGUGCUUCAAGACGUGGCGUACACAGACCUUCACGCCCUGGUCGAGUUCAUCUACCACGGCGAGGUCAACGUUCACCAGCACAGCUUGUCCUCAUUCCUGAAGACAGCUGAGGUGCUCCGUGUCUCCGGUCUCACACACAAUGACGCUGCCCAGGGGCCCCUGCUGCAAACCAUGCGGUCGUCAGCAGCUCCGUCACCCCACACGCCACCCCACCCGGCCCACUCUACCCAUAUACCGCAACCCUACCCUGACAAACUCGAGGAAGCUCUUCUUCAACCCUCAUCCAGCAUCCCGCCCAUGAUGCGCCGCAUUCCUCUUCCUCCACCGCGACGUAUGAGCUCCACUGACAACUCCCCUGACGUCAUAAAGCGUCCACGUCACGACAACAACAACACAGAAUCCCCACAAAUGCACGCCGCCGACUUCUCGACCAAGAACCACUCGAUUCUGAACAGCAGGGGUCACGAGCAGGGGAACAACGGAAACGGCAUCUCCAAUAGCAGCUCGUCACCUUCCCCGAGGCUGAUGGACGAAGUGAAAAACGAACCGGUCGACAUGAUAUGCCCUUCUAACCCUGAUAUAGAUCGCUGCACGGAUGACACACCGCCGCAUACUCAUCACCGACCAAUCGGAGGUCCACCGUCGCGUAGCAGCUCUGCUGAUGCCGAAGACCGCACCCCUCCCCCGCAGCUGCCGCCCUCACCAUUCAUUCCGCCCCCCGACACGAAGCUCUUCAACCCGUCUAACUCCUACAACUUUACAAUGGAGGCACUGGCUCAACACUCGACACUAGCCGGUCUGCAGAGUCCUCUCGCUUCGGACGGAAUGGCGAGCACAUCUCAAGGUGGCGCCCGCACCCCCCAAGAAGAUUACAGAUGCGACCCCUGUAACAAGAGUCUGUCCUCGCUGACGAGGCUCAAGCGACACAUUCAGAACGUACACAUGAGACCGUCCAGGGAGCCAGUGUGUAACAUUUGCCAGCGCGUUUACUCCAGCCUGAACAGUCUGCGCAACCACAAGUCGAUCUACCACCGCAAGCAGCCCGCGCCGCCCGCGCCCGGCCCCUUCUACCCCGUCAACUGACCCCCCGCGCGGCCGCCACCCUAACCAGCCACCUACUCUCGCCAUACUCUUGCCCUUAGAUCGUUAAGUUUACAUUGUAACUGUGCAGUCUGUCGCGACAUGUUCCUAACGUUUGUAAAUAGCAUAGUUAUGCAUGCGCAUCGCAAAACCUUUACCUAAUCUGUAUGUAUGUAUCGGUGCUAAACGCUAAACGCUAACGCUAAUCGGGGCGACCGACGCUCGGAACCAAUUGGGACGUCCACGAUCGGUACACGCAUAACCACCAACGAUGUUCGUAUUGAAAGCGCAUUAGUCAAGCCNUAGCUGUCACUUAAUGUAACGUCGCGCCUGAGUGGUACCCGGUGCCGAUUGGUUCCCGAGGGCGGGUCGCGAGGCCUCGUCCGUUGACU